rnacentral:rRNA from 1 species
GACGAACGCUGGCGGCGUGCUUAACACAUGCAAGUCGAACGGAAAGGCCUGCUUUCCCUUGUGGAUUGCGGGUGCUCGAGUGGCGAACGGGUGAGUAACACGUGAGUGAUCUGCCCCCAACUUGGGUAUAAGCCUGGGAAACUGGGUCUAAUUACCGAUAGGACUGCAGGGUGGUGCCUGUGGUGGAAAACGAUUUUCUAGUGGUUGGGGAUGAGCUGGCGGCCUAUCAGCUUGUUGGUGGGGUACUGGCCUACCAAGGCGGCGACGGGGAGCCGGCCUGGGAGCGUGGACGGCCGCAUUGGGACUGAGACACGGCCCAGACUCCUACGGGAGGCAGCAGUGGGGAAUAUUGCACAAUGAGCGGAAGCCUGAUGCAGCGACGCCGCGUGGGGGAUGACGGCCUUCGGGUUGUAAACUCCUGGCAACCGCGAGGAAGCCGCCUGGUUGGAAGGGUGGUGACGGUAGUGGUAGAAGAAGCACCGGCUAACUACGUG